AGCGAACGCUGGCGGCAGGCCUAACACAUGCAAGUCGAACGAACUCUUCGGAGUUAGUGGCGGACGGGUGAGUAACACGUGGGAACGUGCCUUUUGGUUCGGAAUAACUCAGGGAAACUUGUGCUAAUACCGAAUGUGCCCUUCGGGGGAAAGAUUUAUCGCCAUUAGAGCGGCCCGCGUCUGAUUAGCUUGUUGGUGAGGUAACGGCUCACCAAGGCGACGAUCAGUAGCUGGUCUGAGAGGAUGACCAGCCACACUGGGACUGAGACACGGCCCAGACUACUACGGGAGGGAGCAGUGGGGAAUCUAGCGAAAUGGGCGAAAGCCUGAAGCAGCCAUGCCGGGUGAAUGAUGAAGGUCUUAGGAUUGUAAAAUUCUUUAACCGGGGACGAUAAUGACGGUACCCGGAGAAGAAGCCCCGGCUAACUUCGUG
rnacentral:rRNA from 1 species